UUUUUUUUUUUUUUUUUUUCAUGUUUUCAUGUUCAUCAAUUGUCUUAAUGCCUCUUAGCCAAAAAAAAAAAAAAAAUGCAAGUUCGUUUUGAGUUGUAGAAAAAAACUUAAGCUACUGAGAUUGAAUUAGAAAUCUAUCUUUUUUGAAAACUUGGUAAUAGGCGGGUUGAGCCGAUUUUGCACAGAUUGAGUCAAUAAAUGACAUGCCCAAAAGUUACUUGGGCUUCGGGUUAAGAUGGACUUAAAUUUGGGUCAUACCUCAACCUGUUCAACUCUUAUCAAGCUUUACUUAAUAUAUGUUGUUUUCUUAAAAAUAGUAUAAUUACUAAAUAAGACUUUUUUGUUCUUUUGUUAUGGUCAUAUACUCAUAUAUAGCAUAUCAAACAAAAAAACAUAUUUCUAAGAUAUUUUAGCAAAGUUACUCAUGGAUUAAUUUGGGUUAAAAAUUAGCCCUACUUUAAACGGGCUGAGAUGAAUUAGGUCAAGAUGUGUCGAGUUCAAUAAAUGGACGGGUCAAUAACUAACCAAACCUUGGGCUGGUUGGGCGAAUCAUUUGGGCUUGGGCCAAAAUUAACGGCCAUACUUGGUAAAAUAUGAGGACACAAGUCACAAUGUUAUUUGUUCGAUUUUCAAAAGUUUUUAAGGUAGGAUAGAAUAAAUAAAUAAAGGAACUACCAGCUAUGUCCAUUUAUAAGCAGCUCAUUACAAAAAUUGGUCAAUUCAUAAAAUAUUACUAAUAUUAGCCAAAUAUUACUCAUAUUAGCCAAUUAGCUAUUUGUAGCAAGAAAAUGUCAAAUUUUUGCUUUCAUUUGAGUGGGUAUUAUUAGAAUAGAUUGGGUACAUCUUAAGAGGAUUGAAUCUCAGUUUUGGGAUGGUUUGGUGAAGUUUUGAGGUGGUUUGAAUUGAAAAUUCGAAGUAAAAACUGAACAUGAAAUAAAAUGAUAUGUAUAUCACACUGUGUAUCAUUUGCGUAUCUCAUAUAUAUCAUAUUUGUAUCAAUUGUGUAUCACAUGUAUACAUGUGUGUGAGAUACAUGCGUGAUACAUGUGUUGCAGAAGAAUUUUUUGAACUCGAUUUAAUUACGAAUUUUGAUACAAAACCAGUCCAAAUCACCUUCAAUCUUCCUCAAAUUUUGUAUAUUGACUUAUCUAUAUGUUUUCAAUGAAUUUCAACUAUACCCAUUAAAAAGUUCCUUUUUUGCUUAGAUUUUUGGAAUAUUGUAUAUUUUUUUUUGUAUUUCAUCACCUUAUUUGCUACCUCAUCCAUAAAAUUUCCUUUCCGUCUUGCAUCUAAUGUUGCUAAUCACGCUUUAAAAAAAGGUGAUUUUUGCAUGUGAUUCUUUGAGAGAAAGAACCUUAUUUAUUUAGUUUUUAAAUUUUUACAUGUACUUGGCUAGUUUUAGUAAGUCUAUAACUAAUGGCUAGAGGUUGGUAAGUUGAGACUUAUUUGGAAUAUUUGUGUAAGUUUUCGAUAAAUAAAUAGAGUUAAACAAGGUAGAUUACCAUCCUAUAUUCCUAUUUAAGUGCGUGCAAAUAGUUCGUAGUUGUCCUACUCGGAAGAUAUAAUGAAUUGUCAAGUCUUCUUUGUAAGCACAUAAACAAUAGACUUGGAUUUUAGAACACUCAAUUGCCUUCCCAAGUAUGUACAGUAUAUCAAAAUAAAUGAUACGUGAUAGUAGUUUAUAUUAUUAAAUUAUGUUAAGGUAAAUGUAAAAAACUGUUUAUGGAUGAUCAGUUACAAAAAUCUGGUAUCUUACGAAGUUAAAUUAUCAACACGGUCACCUUUUAAUUUUAUCUUUCAGAAUACAAUUCUUAUACUUUUCUUAUACAAUAUUCUUUCUUGUCUUAGUAUAAAAAGUCGGAAUUGCUUGAUCAUCAAGGGACCAUUUGAAAACUCCCCCAUACAACAUGCAGGUAUCGACAUAUAACGCAAAAACCUUCUUCAUAAUUGAUUGUAAUAUUAUGGACAUUAAUCUUCGUCAAUGCUCAUAAGCGUUGGAAUUUGUCCAUGAUCAACAAAAUCAAUCUUGUUUAACCUCACACAAGCUAGCACUUUCUCUGGCAGCUCCUCUGGCUUUUGUGCCUGC
rnacentral:lncRNA from 1 species